UACGUAGGGGGCAAGCGUUAUCCGGAUUUACUGGGUGUAAAGGGAGCGUAGGCGGCGAUGCAAGUCAGAAGUGAAAGCCCGGGGCUCAACUCCGGGACUGCUUUUGAAACUGUAUGGCUAGAUUGCAGGAGAGGCAAGUGGAAUUCCUAGUGUAGCGGUGAAAUGCGUAGAUAUCACGCAGAACUCCGAUUGCGAAGGCAGCAUACCGGCGCCCAACUGACGCUGAAGCACGAAAGCGUGGGUAUCGAACAGG
rnacentral:rRNA from 1 species